rnacentral:lncRNA from 1 species
CAACUGCUACUAUACGGGAGGGACGCCUGCUGAUCGACCGACCGAUCGAUCACAUCGCGGCGGUGGGUUUGCUUUUCGGCCGGCCCUUCCGCUUGCCGGCGGCGAGGUACCGGUGGGCGCCGACCAGCUCCUCCCGGAACCUGGCCAGGUCGAGCCGCACGUUCUGCCGGUCCAGGUACACCUUCUUGGUCACGUCCCAGCCGCGCUGCGCCACGCCGGCGGGGUCCGUCAGCACGGGGUGGCCCGCGGGGUACUCGCGCGCCAGGGAGCUCUCCUCCGGCAGGAUCUUGUACCCGACGUACCGCAGCCCGAGCCGCGCCGCCG